rnacentral:lncRNA from 1 species
AAAAACAAAAUGAAUUUGAAAAGGUCAACGAGUGCUCUUCUUCUAUUGUUUCUUCUACUUCUUUGUCUCUUCUCUGAAAUUAGAGGGUUUGAGAUCACUCGCCGGAGAGUAGGUCAGUAUCUUCAUAGAUCUGGUUUUAUUCUCUUGUUUCUAUGUUACGCUAUAUCUUAAGCAGAUGUUGAGUAUCUUGAAGAAAUCUUCAAGUUCUAGUAUCUUUAAACUAGGAAAGGGUCAAUUAUUUUAGAUAUUCGAUAAUAGAGUUUGUAAAAAAUAUUUAAAUCUAGGUAAUAACAUAUUGAUACCACUUAAUAUCAUAUAUAUGAUUCCUACCAAAAACAAAUAUCAUAUAUAUGAUUGCUUUUAGAAUCAUCUCCAGAAUCUCCACGUUAUAUUUGUUACUCACAUAGAAUUGAACUAAUUCAUCAUUUCUAACAUAAAAUUUUCUUCAUUCUUCGUUAGUAGAAGCUAGUAGAGAGUUAUCUGCAACAACUCCAUCUUGUACAUGCGGAGGCCAUGGAAGACGACCAUGUCCUCGUCCACGUCCACGUUCACGUCCAUGUCCACCUCCACGUCAACGCUCUUCAAAAAAAUCUACUACAGAGCCUUGAAAGGGAAUUAAGUAAAGAAGGAGAGAAAUUACAAAUAAGAUAUCUGAAUUCUUUUACCAAAAAAAAAAAGAUUUCUGAAUUCUAUUUUUGUGCCGCAACUUUAUAUAUGUUUUAUCUGAUAUAUAAACAAUGUUAAACAAUGGUACUCUUUCAUGUUUAAUUAUAACGGAAUAUGCACAAAACUGCAAGUGAGAACAUUUCAGUCUGAACUUUACAAAAGCAGUUUUUAUUUAACACAAACUGGU